GAUUCAGGAGUAAAAUGAGAGAGCGCGUGACAUCACAUCGAAGCCCCGAAGGCAACAAACGCGCAACAUCACUAAGCAAAUCUGCGAAAUGAUUGAGGAAGACUAAGCUUCUCGGAGCUACGACCUGAUGAUGGAAGAAGAGACUCCGUUGCCGAUAGAAUCCGCCGUGGCGAGAAUGGAAUGGCGUUGAAUUUAGAGAAGGAAGAAGACCUAGGGAAGAAAUUGGAGUGAUUUUGUUAUAGGGUAAGUUUAAAACCUUUUGUUUUUGUGAAGUGAUCAUUUACAGAAAAAGGAAGAUGAAGUGAUUUUUUAAAAGUAAUGCUAUUGGAAUAUUGGAUCCAUGAAAUUAACAUUCACUUACUUGAGAAUGUGAUUUUUCAAAAGUAAUGUUAACAGGAUAACAAACCCUAUUAGAGUUAUACAAAAACUUUACAUUUU